UUUAUCAAAAACAUCGCCUCUUGUAUUUAACAAAUAAGAGGUCCCGCCUGCCCUGUGACUAUAAGUUUAACGGCCGCGGUAUUUUGACCGUGCGAAGGUAGCGCAAUCACUUGUCUUUUAAAUGGAGACCUGUAUGAAUGGCAUAACGAGGGCUUAGCUGUCUCCUUUUUCCAGUCAAUGAAAUUGAUCUCCCCGUGCAGAAGCGGGGAUUAUUACAUAAGACGAGAAGACCCUAUGGAGCUUUAGACACUAAAGUGGAUCAUGUCAAUGACCCUAAAUAAAGGAUUGAACAAGAUGGAACCCACCCUGAUGUCUUUGGUUGGGGCGACCGCGGGGAAAUAAAUAACCCCCAUGUGGAAUGGGAGCACCCCUCCUACAGCUGAGAGUUACAACUCUAAUAAACAGAAUUUCUGACCAAAAAGAUCCGGCAAUGCCGAUCAACGGACCUAGUUACCCUAGGGAUAACAGCGCAAUCCUCUUUUAGAGCCCAUAUCGACAAGGGGGUUUACGACCUCGAUGUUGGAUCAGGACAUCCUAAUGGUGCAGCCGCUAUUAAGGGUUCGUUUGUUCAACGAUUAAAGUCCUACGUGAUCUGAGUUC
rnacentral:rRNA from 1 species